rnacentral:lncRNA from 1 species
CGCAUGAUUUGAGUUUCCACUAGACUUGUGUUAUGGACGGAUUUUACGGGCUGUGAUUGGUCGUAUUCAAAUCAAUGACAUAUUUGAUGACAUUUAAAAGAAAUACGUAACCCUGUUUUCUCGUUUGUUUUUGUUUAUGCAGUGUGUUUAUGUUAUACAAAAGAAAAAUAUUGAUAUUUUAGUUAUUAAUCUUGGUUUUGAGACUAUUUUAUACGUUUAUACUUGUUUAUUGUAUUCAUUUUUAAACAGCCAUAUUAUUUCCAGCAAAAGUUAUGGAACGUUUACAGAUACAUAGUAAUAUUUAUAAAAAAAAAACAAAUUACUUUCUGCUUGCUUCCUAUAUUUUGUAAAUUUUUAAAGCUUCCUCCCAGACUCAUUUGAGUAUAAGGUGGUUCAUUUUUCCGAAAUAAAUGGAAAGGAUGGCGCAUUUAAUGCAGUGAUUUGAGCUAAUAUAACAACACAAGAAGAUGCUCAAAAUUGUCAAAAAGAAUAUGAAAAUGUUAAUAAAGUAAAUUUUAGAGUUCUAAGAACUUAUCCAAAUGAUUCUAUGAAGCUUGUUUUCAAGAAAGACUAUCGAUGCCAUCGCAAUACUCAGGCUAAUUUGCCUUCAUCAAAGACAAAAAA